CCUGCAGGUGGGGGAGAGAAAGACAUAAAGCCCCCAAGGAGAGGAGGCGGACCCCCCCCCGGGGGAGGGGCACAGGUCUGGAGCCCGCAUCCGGCUUCUCCAGCUGUCGGGAGAGGGGUGACCCAGACACCCAGAAGGAAGGGGCCUCGGCACGGGCUGGGGACGGAGACAGGACACACCCACCCCUCGCCUGCACCAGACGUCCCACACUGGGCUACUCUGCACCACGGGUGAUCCUCAGACUCCAGUCUCACUCUGUCGACCGGCGCCGGGCUGGAGAGCAAUGGCGCGAUCUUGGCUCACUGCAACCUCCGCCUCCCGCGUUCAAGCGAUUCUCCUGCCUCAGCCUCCCGAGUAGCUGGGACUACAGGCACGCGCCACCACGCUCAGCUAAUUUUUUUUGUAUUUUUAGUAGAGACGGGGGGGUCUCACCAUGUUGGCCAGGAUGGCCUCGAUCUCUUGACCUUGUGAUCCGCCCGUCUCGGCCUCCCAAAGUGCUGGGAUUACAGGCGUGAGCCACCGUGCCCGGCCCAACAACAGCAUUUUAAAACCUUGCUCCUCUGAAGCCCUAAACAGUCCCCCAAAUCUGCUAAUUCCAAACCUAAAAAUGCCCUUCUCCCAUUCACACCUCACAAAAAGAGUAAUCCCUGCCCUUGACAGCAAUAAAUUGGUUGUAAGAGACAGGGUCUGUUUGUCACUCAGGCUGGAUCACAGUGGCGCAGUCAUAGUUCACUGCAGCCUCUUAACUCCUAGGUUCAAGAGAUCCUCCCACCUUGGCCUCCCAGGUAGCUGGAACCACAGGCACACACCAGCAUGCCUGGCUAACUUUUUAAUUUUUGCAGCGAUGGGGUCUCACUAUGUUGCUUAAGCUGGUCUUGAACUCCUGGCCUCAAGCAGUCCUCCCACCUUACCCUCCCAAAGUGCUGGGAUUACAAGUGUCAGCCACUGUACCUAGCAAAUGCUUGCUUUUUGUCUGUUUGUUUUUUAGAUGGAGUCUUGCUCUGCCGCAUAGACUAGAGUGUAGUGGUACGAUCUCGGCUCACUGCAACCUCCACCUCCCGGGUACAAGUGAUUCUCCUGCCUCAGCCUCCCAAGUGGCUGGGAUUACAGGCACCCACCACCACGCCCGGCUAAUUUUUGUAUUUUUAGUAGAGACGGGGUUUCGCUAUGUUGUCCAGGCUGGUCCCGAACUCCUGAUCUCAGGUGAUCCACCUGCCUCAGCCUCCCAAAGUGCCGGGAUCACAGGUAUCAGUCACGGUUCCCGGCCGAUGCUUGUUUUUGAAAUGCCAGUUUUCUCCAGUGUGACUGAACGAUUUUGAGCAUAACCUGAAUUUUGCAUUUGUUCACGCGCUGAUUCAUCCCCAACUAAAGGCUGUCGGCAGACACUGAAAACCGCAGCCAGCGGCGCUGACCUUCAGAAGGAAGCUCACGCCGCGCCCCGCACACCCUCCGACCGCUCCGCCGCUGUGCCGUGAGCUAGGCCUUCCCCAUCCGGGGUCACGACUGUCUGAUUUCAGACAACUCUCCUUCCACCACUGCAGUCACUCACAUGUAGCCCUUCAGAGGCCGUUUCCAUGUGCACAUUCUGGGUCUUUUCCAAGGCCAAGCACGGUAUUUAAUGUAGUAUCAUGCAUUUCUUUUUUUCUUUUUUUUUUGAGACAGAGUCCUCGGUCUCAGAGUUGCCAGGCUGGAGCGCAGUGGCGCGAUCUUGGCUCACUGCAACCUCCGUCUCCCUGGUUCAAGUGAUUCUCCUGACUCAGCCUCCAGAGUAGCUGGGAUUACAGGCACCUGCCACCACACCCGGCUAAUUUUUUUUUUUUUUUUUUUGCUAUUUUUAGUAGAGACGGGGUUUUACCAUGUUAGCCAGGAUGGUCUCGCUCUCGUGACCUUGGCCUCCCACAGUGCUGGGAUUAUAGGCGUGAGCCACCCUGUGCCAGGCUUUUUUUUCCCCCCUUGAGACAGAGUCUCGCUCUGUUGCCCAGGCUUGAGUGCUGUGGUGUGAUCUCGGCUCCCUGCACCCUCCACCUCCCGGGUUCAAGCGACUCUCCUGUCUCAGCCUCCCGAGUAGCUGGGGCUGCAGGUGCGCACCACCACGUCCAGCUAAUUUUUGUACUUUUUAGUAGAGACAGGGUUUCACCAUGUUGACCAGGAUGGUCUCGAUCUCUCAACCUCCCAAAGUGCUGGGAUUACAGGUGUGAGCCACCGUGCUGGGCCAGUAUCAUGCAUUUCUAAACCACAUAAUGUAGAAAACAGUGCCACCGUUUCUACUAGGUCCCCAUCUCUCUUUUCUCUUAACAUGUCACUGAUAAAGGUUUUUUUGUUUGUUUUUAAA